rnacentral:rRNA from 1 species
UACGUAGGGGGCAAGCGUUGUCCGGAAUCAUUGGGCGUAAAGAGCGUGUAGGCGGCCAGAAAAGUCCGCUGUGAAAACUCGAGGCUCAACUUCGAGCUGUCGGUGGAAACUUUCUGGCUAGAGUCCGGAAGAGGAGAAUGGAAUUCCUGGUGUAGCGGUGAAAUGCGCAGAUAUCAGGAAGAACACCCGUGGCUAAGGCGGCUCUCUAGUACGGUACUGACGCUGAGACGCGAAAGCGUGGGGGAGCGAACAGGG